UACAGAGGGGGCAAGCGUUGUUCGGAAUUACUGGGCGUAAAGGGCGCGUAGGCGGCCUGUUAAGUCGAACGUGAAAUCCCCGGGCUCAACCCGGGAACUGCGUCCGAUACUGGCAGGCUUGAAUCCGGGAGAGGGAUGUGGAAUUCCGGGUGUAGUGGUGAAAUGCGUAGAGAUCCGGAGGAACACCAGUGGCGAAGGCGACACGCUGGGCCGUACCUGACGCUAAAGCGCGACAGCAUGGGGAGCAAACGGG
rnacentral:rRNA from 1 species